GAUGCCUCGCCCCGGAAUAGGCAGGUGGCUUUCGCAUCAUGCUCCGCCUGGCUCCAUCCGCGCGCGACUGUUGUCUGUUGCAUUGCAAUGAGCCAUCUUCUUGGAGUUGGGCUGAGCAGUGAGCUAGUGACCAAGCUUUUUAAUGACAGGCACAAAAUGAGAGGAUGUCCCCUCGAGGGACAAAAAUCCACUUCCCAGCCAAGCGUAAAUUAAGGAGAAGAUGAUGAACCGCGAGACAUAGGCACAUCCAUUCAUCCUCUUUGAGACAAGAUUACCAAUGGGGAAUUGGGGAUACUACUCAUCGCCCACCGCGGCGGCACCGUAGCAUGGACGAGGGCGCGGAGCUCUUCUCCGAUUCUCCUGGCGAGAAAUUUAGGAUUAUACCAUCGUAAAAGAGUGGUUUCGCUGGAUUGCCAUCGCUUCAAACUGAUUCAUUGUAAUGUCACACUAAAUUGAGAUGUGUUUACCAAAAUGCCAUUUUAGUUCUUUUUUGUGAAUAGAAAGUUUUUGCUCAAUUUUAUUUUUUUCCCGACCAAAAUACCCCUGACGUGGGCCCAUCCGUCAUGCUCUCUCCCACCUCUCCCUCUCUCCCGAGACCUCUCCUCUCAAGGACGCCGUCGGCUCGCGGGCGUGGCGGGCAGUGGCCGGUGGCGGCGGCGGGCGUGGCGGGGAGGUGGGCGUCUAGCCGUCUAGCGGCGGCGGCGGCUGCGGCUGCGGCAUGCCCCUCGCAGGCGGCGAUGUGCAAUUGUGCAUCGCCGUGCGGCCGUCGGAGUCGCGGAAGUUGGGGUCUGCUCCGCCGCACCGGCGACGAUGCUCGCUCGCCGUGGCCCUGGCGGAUGCAGAUGAGGGGAACCCGUUGCCUCGCGGGUGUAAGUACGUGUCCCCCUCCUCCAUCCCCCCUCCCUUCCUCAUUCGCGUUCCCAGGGCUCACACCCUCUUUCAUCCAACCAGUCCGGGGGUCAUAGGUCUUACUCGGAGCUAGGAGAGAGAGAUUCCUCGAUCUAUGACUUGUGUGCUAGCAAUGCCAGCCAGGGAGUAGUUUACUGAAUCUGAGCCCCAUCGAGUCCCAGUCGAUCCAUCGCACAAAUUUCAUUCUGAUUUUACAUGUCAUAUUUAGGCAAUGGGAGUUCUCAACUAUGAUGGUGUGAUUGAGAUUUUUAUCAUACUUUGCUAUGAAUUGUCGGCUUCGGCUAAUAUAGUUAGAAAACAGUUUGACCCUAUGAGGAGCGAAUGAAUUUUCCUAAAAAUCCAUUAUUCUGGGGCUCAUGAUUUUUGUGGACUUUACUAUGAUGGUGUGAUUGAGAUUUUUAUCAUACUUUGCUAUGAAUUGUCGGCUUCGGCUAAUAUAGUUCGAAAACAGUUUGACCCUAUGAGGAGCGAAUGUAUUUUCCUAAAAAUCCAUUAUUCUCGGGCUCAUGAUUUUUGUGGACUUUAGAUUGACUCUAAUCUUGGGCUAAAAGCUGAGUUCAGGAAUGGAAUGAUCCUUUUGUUUCUUAGAGUAAGUCACUUUGGUGCAUUUUUCUCAGCUGAUUGCUUAGUCAUGACUCGAGUUCUGUAGGUUGUCCACUAAGUUAUAGAUAAAUCCCACAGAUUCUACUUGAAUUGAUCCAUUACUUGAGAAUGAUUUGUGCGGUAUUAUUCAAUAAUUUUUUGUUCAUUUCACUAUUUUUAUUUGUUCCAAACUUUGCAACAGUGCUAUUUUUCCAUGAUUUGUCUCACAACAUGUAAGAAGUGAUUUGUACAUCAUGUCUCACAUCACAUGUUUGUUAAUAUAUGUUCUUUUGUUAAUAAAAAAGAGUAAGACUUGGGGUGAUUUUUCACACUCUAUGUCAAGUAUGUCCAACAAGUUCUUUAUGCUGUGUUUUUUCAUGAAACAAGAAAAAAAAAUCAAUAACUCAAUAAGUACCUAGCAUAUUCCUCCCUUAUGUUAAGUUGGAUUAUCAUUUUUCAACUGUAGUUUGCUUUGCAUGUAUUAUUCUUCCCUUCACAUGGAGAUGUUAUCCAACUUAAAAUUUUCUGAAGUUCAGUUGGCUGAUGACAAACUUGUCUAUGCUGCUGGUUUUGCUAUGCUGUUAGUCAUCAAGAAUUAGUGAAGCCAACAUCUGAUAGAGUAACAUUGUUCCAUGUGUUGUUAACUUGUUAUUAAUGCUACUGGUUUCUGUUUCAUAUGGAGAUUUUCAACAACAGCAUACCAGGUCCCAUCUUUUUGCACUUCUAUCUAUCUAUUUAGGCCUUGUUCGGUUACACAAGGAUUCGUUCCGGGCUGGGAAUGAUAGGUAUAACAAGAAAUUUAUAAUAGGUACAACAAGAGACCGGGAUUUAUUCCGGGUCGGGAACCAAUUUACUCAUAUUAGGUACAACAAAACAUCUGGAUUAGUUCCACACCUCUUGACUAGUGGAUUGAUUCCCGGUCUCUUAUUGUCCCUAUCAUGAGUAAAUUGGUUCCCGGCUCGGAAUAAAUCCCGGUCUCUCGUUGUAUCUAUCAUAAAUUUCUUACUAUACUUGUCAUUCCCAGCCCAGAUUGAAUCCUUGUGUAACCGAACAAGGCCUUAGGGAGAAUUUUUGGUUCAGAUUCACACAGAUGAGUCUACAGGCGGGAGUAACACUAUUCCUACAACAUCCAAUUUGGGGUCUGUUGUGGGUGUGGAUACGCUGGUGCUUGGACAGGAGGGUGAGGCCUGCAGCCUCGCCGCCCUGGAGCCUGGUGAGACAAACAGAGAAGGGGGAGACCAGAGAUAGGUUUAACUUUCUUUCUUGAUUGAUUCCAAUUUACUGCCAUGCCUCUCCUUAUAUAGAGCAGGCUCCUAACAACCCUAUCUAACAAAGCCUAACAAACUAACUGAAUGCAUGAGAUGGGCUGAGUUGUGCCCAUAACAGUGGCCACUAUGCUGUUUGUUGAGCUUAUUGUACAGUUGUUAUAUUAGCAGUCUAAGGUCAAUCUGUUGAGGAGUUAAUCAUA